rnacentral:pre_miRNA from 1 species
GAGUUCUUGCGACAUUGGCCCGGUUCGAUCAGAGAUGAAAAUGCCAAGGAAAGAAAUGGAUGUUUGGUUUACUCUGAUUGAGCCGCGCCAAUAUCAAAGAGCUUCUC